CCCACCAUGGUGUAGUGGUUUGAGUGUUGGACUGUGACUGAAGAGCAGGGUUCGAAUCCCUGGUGGAC